rnacentral:rRNA from 1 species
AGCAGCCGCCGCGGUAAUACGGAGGGUGCAAGCGUUAAUCGGAAUUACUGGGCGUAAAGCGCACGCAGGCGGUCUGACAAGUCAGAUGUGAAAUCCCCGGGCUUAACCUGGGAACUGCAUUUGAAACUGUCAGGCUGGAGUCUUGUAGAGGGGGGUAGAAUUCCAGGUGUAGCGGUGAAAUGCGUAGAGAUCUGGAGGAAUACCGGUGGCGAAGGCGGCCCCCUGGACAAAGACUGACGCUCAGGUGCGAAAGCGUGGGGAGCAAACAGGAUUAGAGACCCCUGUAGUCCCUGUCUCUUAUAC